rnacentral:rRNA from 1 species
GUCCACGCCCUAAACUAUGUCAACUAGCCGUUGGGAUCAUUGAAGGUCUUAGUGGCGCAGCUAACGCGAUAAGUUGACCGCCUGGGGAGUACGGCCGCAAGGUUAAAACUCAAAGGAAUUGACGGGGGCCCCGCACAAGCGGUGGAGCAUGUGGUUUAAUUCGAUGCAACGCGAAGAACCUUACCAGGCCUUGACAUCUAGCGAACUUUCCAGAGAUGGAUUGGUGCCUUCGGGAACGCUAAGACAGGUGCUGCAUGGCUGUCGU